rnacentral:lncRNA from 1 species
UUAGUCCUACUGCCCCAUCUUUUCAUAAGUAGUUUUUUUUCUUAUUUCUCGCUUAUGAUGCUUAUACUUUUUCCAUUUGUUGGUACAACAGCUAGAAGGACGGGAGGAUUUAUUCAAAUAUGCAUCCGAUCACAUGGAAUUAAAAUCCGAUAAGUGGACUGAUCUAAAUUUUACAACAUGGGAAAGAGAAGAAUAUAUUAAGAGCAGUCUUCAGACGGAUGGGUACGCCUUCUAAUAUAACUCAGAGCUUUUACCUUAUUGGAUGCCAAUGCAAUUGACACAGCAUCUCUCAUGAGAUCUGGCCUAAAUAAUGGAGCUCAAAGGCGAUACACUUCAUUGGGCUGCAUAUAGUAGUAUAGAAAAUGUGUUACAAUUUCUGGAUUUGAACAACGAAUAUAUUACUACACACAUGGAAAGAAUCAGAUAGAUAGCAUACCUGAAUGUGUUUCACUAACAAUCUUCCAGUACUCUAUAUAUCAUCCAUGCCAACAUAGAGAAAGAGAAACAUCUCACAAAUGAAUGACAAUGUGGCGAAGGCGCCUGUUGUGCAUACUGUUGGAAAUAUGCCCUAGAGGCAAUGAUAAAUUAGUUAUUAUUAUAUUUCCUUGUUCAUGAUAAUCGUUUAUUAUCCAUGCUAUAAUUGUAUUGAUAGGAAACUCAGAUACAUGUGUGGAUACAUAGACAACACCAUGUCCCUAGUAAGCCUCUAGUUGACUAGCUCGUUGAUCAACAGAUGGUUACGGUUUCCUGACCAUGGAAAUUGGAUGUCGUUGAUAACGGGAUCACAUCAUUAGGAGAAUGAUGUGAUGGACAAGACCCAAUCCUAAGCCUAGCACAAAGAUCGUAGUUCAUAUGCUAAAGCUUUUCUAAUGUCAAGUAUCAUUUCCUUAGACCAUGAGAUUGUGCAACUCCCGGAUACCGUAGGAAUGCUUUGGGUGUACCAAACGUCACAACGUAACUGGGUGACUAUAAAGGUGCACUAGAUGUAUCUCCGAAAGUGUCUAUUGGGUUGGCACGAAUCGAGACUGCGAUUUGUCACUCCGUGUGACGGAGAGGUAUCUCUGGGCCCACUCGGUAGGACAUCAUCAUAAUGUGCACAAUGUGACCAAGGGGUUGAUCACGGGAUGAUGUGUUAUGGAACGAGUAAAGAGACUUGCCGGUAACGAGAUUGAACAAGGUAUCGGCAUACCGACGAUCGAAUCUCGGGCAAGUACAAUACCGCUAGACAAAGGGAAUUGUAUACAGGAUCGAUUGAGUCCUUGACAUCGUGGUUCAUCCGAUGAGAUCAUCGUGGAACAUGUGGGAGCCAACAUGGGUAUCCAGAUCCCGCUGUUGGUUAUUGACCGGAGAACGUCUCGGUCAUGUCUGCAUGGUUCCCGAACCCGUAGGGUCUACACACUUAAGGUUCGAUGACGCUAGGGUUAUAAAGGAAGUUUGUAUGUGGUUACCGAAUGUUGUUCGGAGUCCUGGAUGAGAUCCAGGACGUCACGAGGAGUUCCGGAAUGGUCCGGAGGUAAAGAUUUAUAUAUGGGAAGUCUUGUAUUGGUCACCGGAAAAGUUUCGGGUUUUUCCGGUAACGUACCGGGACCACCGGGAGGGUCCCGGGGGUCCACCAAGUGGGGCCACCAACCACGGAGGGCUGCAUGGGCCAAGUGUGGGAGGGGACCAGUCCCAGGUGGGCUGGUGCGCCCCCCACAAGGGGCCCCAGGCGCAGGGAAGAGUGGGAGGGGCAAACCCUAGGGCAGAUGGGCCCUAACACUAGUAGAAAAAGGGUCAAAUGUGAAGCACAUUAGUGCCGGUUUGUAUUUGAGCCGGCACAAAUGUAUACAUUAGUGCCGGUUCCAACGGCUAGCCGGGCCGCUCUCAUUAGUACCGGUUCAUGGCUAACCUUCAGCACCGGUUCGUGCCACGAACCGGUACUAAUGAGAGUGGUUGCAGGAUGUUGUCAGUCUGGGCCCCCUCCAGCACCUUUAGUACCGGUUCUUGGCACGAACCGGUACUAAAGGUCGUCCUACAUAAACCCUUCGUCCACCCGAGCUCGCUCUGUUCUUCCCCUUUCCCCUCUCCUCUCUGUUCUUCCCCUCUUCCUCUCGAGCUCAUCACACAUUUUGCCCAAAAUUUGUCAAGAUUUGAAGGCCCCCAUCCAUUUAAAUGAUCACAAAGGUUAGCAACUUUGUCCUUUCAUCUCUCAUUGCUAGAUUAGCUCUUGCAAUGCUUUAUAUAGUUAUUAAUUUGUGAGUUUAGUAAUUUGGGAGGAAAUAUGUAUAUGUGCUAGUAUUUGAUUUAUAUGCAAUUUGAGGUUAAAAUAACACUUAGUUUGCAUAUGUAGGUAUGGUUUACUUAGUGCCUUCUAAAUCUCCGUCGUAACCACCGUCGAUCGCCCGCACCGUCCCGUCGCCGGCACCACCUUGUGGUGAGCCUCUUGUUCAUGAAAUUUUAUAUAAAAAAUUGAUGUUUGUGUGAUUUGGAUAUAUAGUUACUCGUAUAAUAAUUAUCUUACCCGUACGUUGUUUGUUAUACAUAGUGCCAUGGUUUUGAUAUCCGUCCCCGUCGGCCCUCGUCCUUGUUAUGAUUGGGAUGUGGUAUAUUCUCUUUUAAAACUAUUUGUUGCAUUUCGUGUUUAUGACAAAUUAUGCCCAUCAAGUUGCCAUAGAUAUUUUUAUCUAGGAGGUAUGUGAACCGGAAUUUCCAACCGACCCUAUUGUCGAGAGGUUAAAUUUAGUUGAAAGAGAAAACGAGUACUUGAAAGAAAAAUUGAAAAGAAUUGAGGGGGAGAAGAUGGAAUUGGAGUUGCAUGUUGCCGAUGUCGUCGAUGAUCACAAGAUCAAGAAGGAGAAAAUGCGCUUGAAGAUUAGAAAGAUUAGAAAAUAUGCCAUCGAUAGUGAGGCUUGGUAUCAUUAUGCUGUUGGAUCAAUUGUUACCUUAGUUGCAAUCUUGAUCGCAUUUCUUGUUGCAUUUAAAUGCUUUAGCUAGAGAGUUAUUUGUUUGUUGCAUUUAAGUGUUGUAUGAACUUUAUGUAUGAACUUGUAUUAAUUUGGUCUAUUCAGUGUUGUGUAAUGAAGAUGAGCCGGCAAUGGAUGUACGAUGACCGAUGCUCUCCCCAGUUCGUUGAGGGCGUGCAUACUUUUCUGCUUGCGGCUGAGGUAAACAAGCAGGCGGAUGGUUUUAUGCCUUGUCCAUGUGCUGGCUGUAAGAAUGGUCACAAUUACUCUACGUCAAGAACCAUUCACGUCCACCUGUUUGAGUCCGGUUUCAUGCCCCACUAUAAUGUUUGGACCAAGCAUGGAGAAAGAGGGGUUAUGAUGGAAGACAAUGAAGAAGAAGAGGACGACGACAGCUAUCCUGGCCAUGGGUUCCCUGAAUACGAUGAUACAACAAUGGGGGAAGAAGCUAAGCCGGUAAUGCGGGAAGAAGCUGAGCCGGCAAUGCGGGAAGAAGCUGAAGAAGAGGCAUCAGAUGAGCCCGUUGAUGAUCUAGGUCGGGCCAUUGCCGAUGCAAAGAGAAACUGCGCAAGUGAUUUGGAGAAGAAGAAGUUGCAACACAUGUUAGAGGAUCACAAAAAAUUGUUGUACCCGAAUUGCGUAGGUGACAAGAAAAAGCUGGGCACCACACUGGAAUUGCUGCAAUGGAAGGCAGAGAAUGGUGUAUCUGACAAGGGAUUUGGAAAGUUGCUGGUAAUGAUAAAGGAUAUGCUUCCAAAGGACAACAGAUUGCCCAAGAGUAUGUACGAAGCAAAGAAGGCUGUCUGCCCUCUAGGGUUAGAGGUGCAGAAGAUACAUGCAUGCCCUAAUGAUUGCAUCCUCUACCGCGGUGAGUACGAGGAUUUGAACUUUUGCCCGGUAUGUGGUGCAUUGCGCUAUAAGAUCAGCCGCGAUGAGCAUGGUGAUGUCGAGGGCGAGCGCCCCAGGAAGAAGAUUCCUGCCAAGGUGAUGUGGUAUUCUCCUAUAAUACCACGGUUGAAACGUAUGUUCCAAAACAAAGAGCAUGCCAAGGCGAUGCGAUGGCACAGAGAAGACCGUAAGAAAGACGGAAAGUUGAGAGUACCCGCUGACGGGUCGCAGUGGAGAAAAAUCGAAAGAAAGUACGGGAAGGAGUUUGCAGAUGACGCAAGGAGCGUAUGGUUUGGUCUAAGCGCAGAUGGCAUUAAUCCUUUUGGGGAGCAGAGCAGCAACCAUAGCACCUGGCCUGUGACUCUAUGUUUGUAUAACCUUCCUCCUUGGUUGUGCAUGAAGCGGAAGUUCAUUAUGAUGCCAGUGCUCAUCCAAGGCCCUAAACAACCCGGCAACGACAUUAAUGUGUACCUAAGGCCAUUAGUUGAAGAACUCUUACAACUGUGGAAUGGAACAGGUGUACGUGCAUGGGAUGAGCACAAACAGGAAGAAUUUGACCUAAAGGCAUUGCUGUUCGUGACCAUCAAUGAUUGGCCUGCUCUCAGUAACCUUUCAGGACAGACAAACAAGGGAUACCACGGAUGCACGCACUGUUUGGAUGAUACCGAUAGUAUAUAUUUGAAUAGUUGUAAGAAGAAUGUGUACCUGGGACAUCGUCAAUUUCCACCGAGCAGGCAUCCCGUAAGAAAGAAAGGCAAGCAUUUCAAAGGUGAGGCGGAUCACCGGACGAAGCCUCGCCACCGUACUGGUGCUGAUGUACAUGAUAUGGUCAAGGAUUUGAAGGUGAUAUUUGGAAAGGGUCCUAGCGGACAAUCUGUUCCAAAGGACGCUGACGGACGCGCACCCAUGUGGAAGAAGAAAUCUAUAUUUUGGGACCUACCAUAUUGGAAAGACCUAGAGGUCCGCUCCGCAAUCGACGUGAUGCACGUGACGAAGAAUCUUUGUGUGACCCUGCUUAGCUUCUUGGGCGUGUAUGGGAAGACAAAAGAUACACCUGAGGCACGGGAGGACCAGCAACGUAUGCACGGAGAAGACGACAUACAUCAGGGUCAUGCAAGCUACACUCUUACCAAAGAAGAGAAGGAAAUCUUCUUUGAAUGCCUGCUCAGUAUUAAGGUACCGUCUGGCUUCUCGUCGAAUAUAAAGGGAAUAAUAAACAUGGCAGAGAAAAAGUUUCAGAACCUAAAGUCUCAUGACUGCCACGUGAUUAUGACGCAACUGCUUCCGGUUGCAUUGAGGGGGCUUCUACCGGAAAACGUUCGAUUAGCCAUUGUGAAGCUAUGUGCAUUUCUCAAUGCAAUCUCUCAGAAGGUAAUCGAUCCAGAAAUCAUACCAAGGUUACAGAAUGAUUUGGUGCAAUGUCUUGUCAGUUUCGAGUUGGUGUUCCCACCAUCCUUCUUCAACAUCAUGACACACGUCCUAGUUCACCUGUGCCAAGAGAUUAACGUUUUGGGUCCUGUAUUUCUACAUAAUAUGUUCCCCUUUGAGAGGUUCAUGGGAGUCUUAAAGAAAUAUGUUCAUAACCGUGCUAGGCCAGAAGGAAGCAUCUCCAAGGGCCAUCAAAAUGAGGAGGUCAUUGAGUUUUGUAUUGACUUUAUUCCUGACCUUAAGCCGAUUGGUGUUCCUGAAUCGCGGCAUAAGGGCAGACUGGAUGGAAAAGGCACGCUAGGAGGGGAACAAAUAAUAUGUAUGGACGGACAUUCUCUCACUGAAGCACACUACACAGUUCUACAGAAUUCCGCCUUGGUGGCUCCGUAUAUGGAUGAACACAAGAAUUUGCUGCGCUCCAAACACCCGGAGCAGUCUGAUGACUGGAUUACACGUGAACAAAUCAGGAGUUUCGCCAGCUGGUUGCAGACACGUACCAUGCAUGACACCUCUAUUGAAGAUGACCUGUACUUGCUGUCCCAGGUACCAUCUUCGAAUAUAAUGACUUUCAAAGGGUACGAGAUAAAUGGUAAUACAUUUUACACGAUCGCCCAAGAUAAGAAGAGCACCAACCAAAACAGUGGUGUCCGCUUUGAUGCAGAAACCAAGACGGGAAAGGAAACAUAUUAUGGUUAUAUACAGGACAUAUGGGAACUUGACUAUCGACGUGGUUUAAAGGUCCCUUUGUUUCGGUGCAAAUGGGUCAAUAUGACAUGAGGCGGGGUAACGGAAGACCCGCAGUACGGAAUGACAACAGUGGAUCUCAACAAUCUUGCGUAUGUAGACGAACCAUUCGUCCUAGCCAAUGAUGUGGCACAGGUUUUCUAUGUGAAGGACAUGUCUACCAAGCCAAGAAAAAGAAAAAAAUAAGGAAGCAAAUGCAUCGUACGAUGAGUCAAAGCGGCACAUAGUUCUUUCUGGCAAGAGAAACAUCGUGGGAGUGGAUGACAAGACAGACAAGUCAGAAGAUUAUGAAAAGUUUGAUGAAAUUGCUCCAUUCACAGUGAAUAUUGACCCGAGCAUCCCGUUAAAUGAUGAAGAUUUUCCAUGGUUACGGCGCAAAGGGACACACGCGAAGAAGAAGUUUCACACCCAAAGAUCUGGGAUGUGAUCGGCUUCACUAGCUAUCAUCACUUUCUUCUGUGUUUCGCACCGAGAGGGGAAUCUCUGUAAUAGUUAGGGUAGUUAUGUGUUUUGGCAUUUGAAACGCGAAGAAAUUUUAUGUGCAAACAAAUUCUUUCAUGCCUUUACUGAUUUUUAAAGUUAAGUUAUUCACAAACUAGUGAUUCACACUAAUUUCAAAUAAUUCAAAAUUUAAACUAUUCAAAUUUGAAAACUACGGGCACUAACAGAAAGUUUGUAAUUUUUUGUACCUAAAACAAAAAUGUUCACAAAGAAACUCUAAAUACACAAAAAAACAACAAAAAAAUAAAUAAAGCAAAAAAUAAAAAAAAGCCCUAACAGAAAGUUUGUAAUUUUUUGUACCUAAAACAAAAAUGUUCACAAAGAAACUCUAAAUACACAAAAAAACAACACAAAAAUAAAUAAAGCAAAAAAUAAAAUAAAAUAAAGCCCGCCUACUAGGCCAGAGCGGCCUGCAUACGACUAGAAACCCAACCUGUCGUUGGGCCAGGAUGCAGGCCCGCAAAGGCCAAGUGGGCCCACAAGGCUGCAAAGAACACGUAGGCCCAGUAAGCCUGCUUUGUAGAGGAGCUCGCGAGAGCGACCACACGGGGGUUUAUAAACCAGUGCGGUCGCCCCUCGGCUAGCGAGGUGGGACUAAACUUCCCGCACCGCACCUGCGCCAGCGCACCCCCUUUAGUACCGGGUCGUGGCACAAACCGGUACUAAAGGGGGGCCUUUAGUACCGGUUUGUGCCACCACCCGGUACUAAAGGGGGUCGCUUCCCGCCGCUUGACCUGGCCAAAGCAGGCCUUUAGUACCGGUUGGUGGCUCCAACCGGUAUUAAAGGUGCCUUCUAUAUAUACAACAGCUACGAAAAUUUCAGUUUCCCUCUCUGUUCGUUCUUCUGUUUCCGUCUCCGUCGCCGUCGCCGCCGCCCUCGAUCAUCUCGGUCGCCGCUCGUCUCCGUCGCCGCCGCCGUCCCCAUUGCCGCCCCCGUCCCCGUCGCCGCCCUCGUCUCCGUCGCCGCCCCGGGCCCGUCCCCGUCGCGCCGUCCCCGUCCCGUCGUGCCGUCCCCGCCGUCGCCGCCCCGGNNNNNNNNNNNNNNNNNNNNNNNNNNNNNNNNNNNNNNNNNNNNNNNNNNNNNNNNNNNNNNNNNNNNNNNNNNNNNNNNNNNNNNNNNNNNNNNNNNNNNNNNNNNNNNNNNNNNNNNNNNNNNNNNNNNNNNNNNNNNNNNNNNNNNNNNNNNNNNNNNNNNNNNNNNNGUUUAAUUAGUACACACACACACGUAUUUUGUAUGUUUAAUUAGUUUAGAUUAUUUAGAUUAUUAUUUUUUCACUAUUAUAUAUGUAUGAAUGCAUGUUAGAUGGAUAUAAUUAGUGUUUAAUCAGUUAGAAAUUAGUGUUAUAUAGAAAUGUUAGAAAUUAGUGUUAUAUAGAAAUGUUAGAAAUGUUAGAAAUUUUAGUGUUAUUUAGAUUAUUUAGAUUAGCAUAAUUAGUGUUAUAUAGAAAUGUUAGAAAUUUUAGUUAUCAAAAUUCAAUCAUUAAAAAAAUGUUACUUUUUGCGGGCAUAUAGCUAGUAUUUGUUCUCGACGAUGCCCGGCCCGCAUCCUCGCCGUCGACCCGUCCGUGACGACGUCCAGCCGACCCAUGUCCGGGACUGGGCUCCGCCGGGCUGGCACUGGGAGGUGCUGCCUGGAGGGGCGCACCGCUUGAUGAGGAACCCGGCCCCGGGUCCCGUCGUCGACCCUGAUCUCGUUUGGUGGCGUUCGCGUGGGCCAGUUUCGGUGCGGAGGGACCCGGCCCCUCCGGAGGUGGUACGUCCCUGUGUCAGGGAGGAGGACGAGCACGUCCAUCGCUACAUGGUUGCAUUAGAGGGCGGUAGGUUCUCCAAUACCUGGCAGUAUCUUCGGGGAUCUCACUUCAGCUAUGAUCCUGUGAGGGUUCCUUCUCUUUGGGUGUCCACCGCCCGCGCCGCAGGAACCGCGAGUGUCCUAGAUUCUUCUGUAGUAUUCGAUCUUUAAUUAGCUAGCUAGUGAUGUACUAUUCAAUAUUAUAUAUUAUUCGAGACGAUGUAUUCGAGAUUAUAUCUAUUAUUCUAGACGAAGUAUUCGAGAUUAUAUCUAUUAUUCGAGACGAUGUAAUUUGAAUACUAAAUUGUUUUAUAUUUCUUUUGAAUUAGUUAAAUAAAAGCUAUGGCAAACAAUACCGACAGAGAGGGAGAACAGACCAUGUUCGAUAUGAUACGCGGGCCAGAUGAUGAUCAGAAUGAAGAAGAUUAUGACGGCUCCGAAUUUCUAAACAACACCGGAGAGGGUGAUAUGAUAUUCGAUCGCGACGACCGAAUUGAUGAAGUCAUGAACUAUGAUUAUGACGAUGACGAAGAACAUGUUGAUCCUGAAACAACAAAGACCGGCGAGGUAUAUAUAUUUAUAUAAGCAGGUAUCUGGUGAUCAUCACAUGUUUUAAAUGACUUGAAGAUAUAUUAACGAAUCGAUCUUUGUUCUUUCAGCCAUCCGGAUCGAGCAAAUCUUCAGGCAAAAGGACGAAACGAGGCCCGAACAAAAAGUUGAAGGAGGGCGUAAAGUACAAUAUCGAGGCAGUCAGACCUAAUGGCGAACCAUUAGCGCCUAAGAAGAUUGCGGACAAGUUCAUUCGUUAGUGCGGAGUACUUGUGAAGGACCAACUCCCGAUCUCCCUUCAAGAAUGGAGAGAGCCAGCAAAAGACAAAAGAAAAAAAAGGCAAAGAGGACGCUGCUCCACGUCCAGAUGUUACUUUUGUCGACAAGAAUCAAAAAGAUCUGCUUUGGGAUACUCUCAUGGAACAUUUCACCCUACCAGAUCAUUUCACAGAAGCAGAUGUGCAGAAAGUCAAGGACGCUGCUCUUAGGAAGAUGGCGGUUGCAUUCAAGAACCACAAGAAUCGUGAAUGGGACAAGUAUGUCAAGGAAGGAAGGAAGACUCCAGUGUUCGAGGGAACACUAGAGAACCAACGUGCUCAUUGGGACGAUUUCGUGAAAUUCAAGGAUUCGAAAUUAGCUAAGGAACGGUCGAGAAUAAACAAGAAGAAUGCCGAAAAAAAGGAUAAGUUCCAUAAGCUGGGGCCAGGUGGCUAUGCGGUGGCAAUGCCUAAGUGGGAUAAGUCUGAGAAAGAGAUGGAGGAUGCAGGUGCCACUCCGGUUACUAAGAGCUGGCCCCCCAGGGUCAGGACUUGGUUCUAUGCGCAUGGGGGGGAGUUGGACCCGAAGACAUGCAAUGUUUCGACGAGGGAAAGUCUGAAGGGAGCCGACGAUGCGAUACUUGUUGCAAUAGAAGAGGCACGAUCGGGGGUGUUCCAGUCCAACAGAGAGAACGACGAGCUUACGCCGUGCCCUGGGAAAUCUUGAACACCCGGGAAGAACACGAGGCAAGGGCGCUAUUCCGUGGUAUGAGGGGUUUUCAGACUGGAACACCGACUACAGAACCCGUGCGAGAAAGAAGAUUGCGGAGGAGAAGAAGAGGAAGAUGGAGGAGGAGCAGAGGAAGCGGGACUAUGAACGCCUUCAAGGCCUAGAAGCAAGUCAAGCGGAAUUGGUAGUCAAAUUCCAGCGGCAGCAGGAGCAGAUCGACUCACUUACCCAGCAAAGGGGGUCUCAGCAGCUGCAGCAGCUAGCGAAUGAUCCAGCAUUAGAUAGUACCGCCCCAUCCAUGCUGAGAAGCAGCGUGGGUUCCGCCCCGGACAACGCAAUACUGGGUAGAUACCCCGUGGAUGACAUCAUAGAGAACACUAGCUGCGAGCUACACGUCAAAAUGAAGAACAUAUCCAUGAAGGUGGCGGACGCCGUUGCUUUUACAAAUCCCCCCGAGGCAACCUUCCAUUGCAACCCGAUUCCAGCGGGCUAUGCUCGUGUCUUGGUUGAUGAGGUGGUGGACCCAUAUUCGGAGCUAGAGCUUGACUAUCCUGGAGGUGACGACGAGCGCUUUCUCGGAGAUGCCAAACAUCGUAUCAUCCUAUGGAAAAAGGAUUGCAUCAUCUUUCGAAGGCCACCGACACCGCGUCAGCCGACUCCUCGUCGAAGUCCGCCACCGAAUCAGCAGUCUCCCGCAACUGCAAGUCCACCAAGUCCGGCAAAGUGCCAGGCCACUCCUCCUCCAAGUCCGGCAAAGUGUCAGGCCACUCCUCCUCCUCCAAGUCCGCCACAGCGUCAGACGUCCACUCCUCCUCCAAGUCUGGCACAACCUCAGGCCACUCCUCCUCCAAGUCCGGCACAGCUUCAGGCGGCCACUCCUCCUCGUCCAACUCAGCCCCGUCAGCCGUCUCCGCCGCCUCAGCAAUCACAGAAGAGACACCCCGCAGCUAUGGUGUGUAGCGAUACGAGUCGAGGUAGUACAGGAAGUACAGGCGGAGGCAAGCGAUAUAAAUAUGGUCCAAGCCUCACGCCUCUUCCGCAGAGGGCUUAUGACAGGUCCGAGGAGGAAAUCGCAGCCAUAUCGAAGUCCGAGGUGGAAGCCCAUUUUGCACCGAAACCGCCACCGUCACCAAGGGAGAAAGUGCCUGAGAAAAUGAUUGACUACUUCAUUCGUAUGGCUCAACCACCAGCUCCCAAGCCUGUUGACACAGACUAUGAGCGCCACAUCAGGAAGUUAAAUCGAGCACGUCUACAUAAGGAGGCGAGCUCGGGAUCGAGCAAACAAGAAGCAGCUGUCAAAAAAUGCGGGAAAACCAUUCCCCAGCUGGGAGAAUAGGUGGCGCAAUCGAUCCCCUCGCUUGUUGUGCCAACAACACGUGACAGUACGCGCGCCCAAUAUUAUUGUGGGCAAACAGUUUACGUUCCUGAGGUGGGCAAUGUGGUAAUAACGGAGGAGCAUAUAAUGCAGGCUGAAGUUCUCAAAAUCACUGUUGGACAACUCCUCGAGAUCGAGCCCAUGCCUGUGCUUAGAGAGGAUGAAAUAAAACGGAAAUAUGUCCGGGGCCAACCUUUGGUCGAGCCAGACAAGAUCAAGAACCUCCCAACAAGAAUGUAUGAAUUGCAUCAAUGGUACAUGAACAUUACCAAGAUUUCCGAUCGAUUGUCCCUCAUGGUGAAUGUCAAGAAGGAGCAUUACUACCAUGAGAAAGCUGUGUCCGUUGAGUAUUCUGAACUGUUUCAGUUAUACAAUCAAGACGCACUCGACAAAUCUAUCGUCAGUUGCUAUUGUCUGUAAGUGAUUUCUUUCUGUAAUUUAAGUCUCAAGCUAGAUGUAGUGAUCCUUUUGAUCAAUCAUUACCUGUAAUUAUCCUCACUAUAUUCUUUUCUGUGGUAUUAUAUGCAGGAUGAAGAUGUAUGAAAUGAGAAAAAGGUGGACGCUAUGGCAUUGGGUUCAUUGACCCAAACACCGUUAAUGAAUACACAUGGAAAAUAGAUGCACGUCAUCAAAAGGCCGUAGAGGACAGCAUGCUAGAGUUCUUGAAGCGCCUCAAAUACAAUGAAGAUAUACUACUUCCUUACAACUUCCAGUGAGUCACACUGUCUUGUACUACAAAUUCUCUGUUUUUGCCUACUAGCUAGCUACAUGUUUUUGCUUACAUAUGCCCGCUUAAUUAAGACAUGCAAACGUGUGUGCAUGCAGAUAUCACUGGGUCUUGUGUAUCAUUAAAGUUGACGCCGGAACAGUUGAAAUACUGGACUCACUACUCAAAGAAAAAACAGACUAUAACAUCUUGUUUGGGAUAGUCAACAGAUAAUUUCAAUCAUUAUUAACUAUAUAUCUCGGCCUAUUUAGUUCGUCAUUUCAUGAUAUGAACUAUUUAAUAACCCCUUUAUUCAUUUUCUUUGUCGGCGGGCAGGGCUUGGGCAAGGUUCAUCAGCGUCACGGAAGGCGAAUGGAAAGAAAAGCUUAAAUGGGGAAGACCCAAGGUAAGUAAUUAAGUAGUACUAGCUAGCUAGCUAGCUGCCAUCUCUUUAAUUAUCAUGCUUGAUUAAUUAUUAUCUGAUCAAAUUCCAUUCUCGUAAAGGCUCUGAAGCAGGCGCAGGGGAUUGAUCUGUGUGCAUUCUGCGUUUGCGAGAACAUUCGCAUGAUGGCGUCCGAAAGGAGCAGAUCUCAAAGACAGGAAUGGGUACGCUUGUCAAAACACUAUUCACAAUUUUUACACCAUUAUCGAUAUCUAGUCACACAACUAAUACACAUGCAUAUUGAUCUCCUUCUUAACAGUUCAGAGAGGUGUGGGAGAAGCUCCUAGAAACGUAGCGCGUAGAAGCACUUCAAGAGGAAAUAGCGGGAUUUUUGCUCGACCAGGUCAUAAAUCCGAAGGGAGAAUACUAUUACCCGCUACCGCCCUCAUGAAAACCACUUCCAAUUGUCAUCGUGCUCCGAAGGCACCAAUUAGGCUAAUGCCACUGGCUCCGAAGGCAACAUGCAUAUGUAGGAGAAAUUGUAUAUAGCUAUACAUGUGUGUAUGUGUGAAUUAAUUAAUAUGAUGGUUUGUGAGACAUUAAUUGAUGAUAUAUAUAUGCAUGAUUGGUUCUACNNNNNNNNNNNNNNNNNNNNNNNNNNNNNNNNNNNNNNNNNNNNNNNNNNNNNNNNNNNNNNNNNNNNNNNNNNNNNNNNNNNNNNNNNNNNNNNNNNNNNNNNNNNNNNNNNNNNNNNNNNNNNNNNNNNNNNNNNNNNNNNNNNNNNNNNNNNNNNNNNNNNNNNNNNNNNNNNNNNNNNNNNNNNNNNNNNNNNNNNNNNNNNNNNNNNNNNNNNNNNNNNNNNNNNNNNNNNNNNNNNNNNNNNNNNNNNNNNNNNNNNNNNNNNNNNNNNNNNNNNNNNNNNNNNNNNNCGUGUACAAUGUGUAGUAUCGUAAAAUACCAGCAAACGAAAAAGAAUUAAAAUGGAAACACAAAACUAAAUGAAAAAGAAAUCAUAAAACUAAAAAAACCCCCAAACCUUAUAGUACCAGUUGGUCUUACCAACCGGUACUAAAGGGCUCCAGGCCCCUGGAGCUGGCUCGUGCCGCGUGGUUUCCCUUUAGCACCGGUUCGUGCUGAACCGGUACUAAAGGGGGGGGGCCUUUAGUGCCCACACUUUAGUGCCGGUUAUGGAACCGGCACUAAAGGGCCUUACGAACCGGUGCUAUUGCCCGGUUCUGCACUAGUGUAAGGCCCAUCCCAGGCGCGCCUCCCCUCUCUCCCCCUCUGGCCGCCACCUAGAUGGCAUCUGGGGGCUGCCGCCACCCUUGGGGAGGGAACCCUAGAGGGGCGCAGCCCCCUCCCCUCCCCCUAUAAAUACAUGAGGUCUGGGGGCUGCCCAACAUAUGAGUUUCUACCUCUAUUGGCGCAGCCCUACCUCUCUUACUCCUCCUCUCCCGCGGUGCUUGGCAAAGCCCUGCAGGAUUGCCACGCUCCUCCACCACCACCACACCGUUGUGCUGCUGCUGCAUGGAGUCUUCCUCAACCUCUCCCUCUCUCCUUACUGGAUGAAGGCGUGGGAGACGUCACCGGGCUAUACGUGUGUUGAACGCAGAGGUGCCGUCCGUUCGGCACUAGGAUCUCCGGUGAUUUGGAUCACGACGAGUACGACCCCUUCAACCCCGUUCUCUUUAACGCUUCUGCUUAGCGAUCUACAAGGGUAUGUAGAUGCACUCUCCUUCCCCUCGUUGCUGGUUUCUCCAUAGAUAGAUCUUGGUGACACGUAGGAAAAUUUUGAACUUAUGCUACGUUCCCCAACAGUGGCAUCAUGAGCUAGGUCUAUUGCAUAGAUUCUUUGCACGAGUAGAACACAAAGUAGUUGUGGGUGUUGAUUUUGUACAAUAUGCUUACCGUUACUAGUCCAAUCUUAUUUCGACGGUAUUGUGGGAUGAAGCGGCCCGGACCAACCUUACACGUACUCUUACGUGAGACAGGUUCCACCGACUGACAUGCACUUGGUGCAUAAGGUGGCUAGCGGGUGCCAGUCUCUCCCACUUUAGUCGGAACGGAUUCGAUGAAAAGGGUCCUUAUGAAGGGUAAAUAGCAAUUGGCAUAUCACGUUGUGGUUUUGCGUAGGUAAGAAACGUUCUUGCUAGAAACCCAUAGCAGCCACGUAAAACAUGCAAACAACAAUUAGAGGACGUCUAACUUGUUUUUGCAGGGUAUGCUAUGUGAUGUGAUAUGGCCAAGAAGAAUGUGAUGAAUGAUAUGUGAUGUAUGAGAUUGCUCAUGUUCUUGUAAUAGGAAUCACGACUUGCAUGUCGAUGAGUAUGACAACCGGCAGGAGCCAUAGGAGUUGUCUUUAUUUAUUGUAUGACCUGCGUGUCAUUGAACAACGCCAUGUAAUUACUUUACUUUAUUGCUAACCGGUAGCCAUAGUAGUAGAAGUAAUAAGUUGGCGAGACAACUUCAUGGAGACACGAUGAUGGAGAUCAUGAUGAUGGAGAUCAUGGUGUCAUGCCGGUGACGAUGAUGAUCAUGGAGCCCCGAAGAUGGAGAUCAAAAGGAGCAAAAUGAUAUUGGCCAUAUCAUGUCCCUAUUUUGAUUGCAUGUGAUGUUUAUCAUGUUUCUGCAUCUUAUUUUCUUAGAACGACGGUAGUAAAUAAGAUGAUCCCUCAUUAAAAUUUCAAGAAAGUGUUCCCCCUAACUGUGCACCGUUGCGAAAGUUCGUCGUUUCAAAGCACCACGUGAUGAUCGGGUGUGAUAGAUUCUUACGUUCACAUACAAUGGGUGUAAGCCAGAUUUACACACGCGAAACACUUAGCUUAACUUGACGAGCCUAGCAUGUACAGGUAUGGCCUCGGAACACAAGAGACCGAAAGGUCGAGCAUGAGUCGUAUAGUAGAUGCGAUCAACAUGAAGAUGUUCACCGAUGAUGACUAGUCCGUCUCACGUGAUGAUCGGACACGGCCUAGUUGACUCGGAUCAUGUAAUCACUUAGGUGACUAGAGGGAUGUCUAUCUGAGUGGGAGUUCAUGAGAUGAACUUAAUUAUCCUGAACAUAGUCAAAAGAUCUUUGCAAAUUAUGUCGUUAGCUCGUGCUUUAGUUCCACUGUUUAGAUAUGUUCCUAGAGAAAAUAUAGUUGAAAGUUGAAAGUAGCGAUUAUGCAGACAGUAGAAAGCUUAUGUCCUUAAUGCACCGCUCAUUGUGCUGAACCCCAAACGUCAUUUGUGGAUGUUGCGAACAUCGGACAUACACGUUUUGAUAACUAUGUGACAGUUCAGUUAAAUGGUUUAGAGUAGAGGCACCAAAGACGUUUUCAAAACGUCGCAGAACAUAUGAGAUGUUUCGAGGGCUGAAAUUGGGAUUUCAGGCUCGUGCCCACGUCAAGAGCUAUAAGACCUCCGACGAUUUUCUUAGCCUGCAAACUAAGUGAGAAAAGUUCAAUCGUUGAGCUUGUGCUCAGAUUGUCUGAGUGCAACAAUCACUUGAAUCAAGUGGGAGUUGAUCUUCCAGAGAUAGUGAUGUUUCUCCAAAGUCAUUGCCACCAAGCUGAUAGAGCUUCGUGAUGAACUAUAACAUAUCAGGGAUGGAUAUGAUGAUCCUUGAGGUAUUCGCGAUGUUUGACACCACGAAAGUAGAAAUCAAGAAGGAGCAUCAAUUGUUGAUGGUUGGUGAAACCACUAGUUUCAAGAAGGGCAAGGGCAAGAAGGGAUACUUCAUGAAACGACAAAUCAGCUGCUGCUCUAGUGAAGAAACCCAAGGUUGAACCCAAACCCGAGACUAAGUGCUUCUGUAAUAAGGGGAACAACCACUGGAGCAGAAUUACCAUAGAUACUUGGUAGAUGAGAAGGCUGGCAAGGUCGAUGGAAGUAUAUUGGAUAUACAUUAUGUUAAUGUGUACUUUACUAGUACUCCUAGUAGCACCAGGGUAUUAAGAUACCGGUUCGGUUGCUAAGUGUUAGUAACUCGAAAUAAAAGAGCUACGGAAUAAACGGACACUAGCUAAAGGUGAGCUGACGAUAUGUGUUGGAAGUGUUUCCAAGUUUGAUGUGAUCAAACAUCGCACGCUCCCUCUACCAUCAAGAUUAGUAUUAAACCUGAAUAAUUGUCAUUUGGUGUUUGCGUUGAGCAUAGACAUGAUUGGAUUAUGUCGAUCACAAUACGGUUAUUCAUUUAAGGAGAAUAAUGGUUACUCUACUUAUUUGAAUAAUACCUUCAAUGGUCUUGCACCUAAAGGAAUGGUUUAUUGAAUCUCGAUCGUAGUGAUACACAUUUUCAUGCCAAAAGAUAUAAGAUAGUAAUGAUAGUACCACUUACUUGUGGCACUGCCAUGUAAGUCAUAUUGGUAUAAAACGCAUGAAGAAGCACCAUGUUGAUGGAUCUUUGGACUCACUCGUUUUGAAAAGUUUGAGACAUGCGAACCAUGUCUAUUGGUGUAUACACAUGAAGAAAUUCCAUGCAGAUGGAUCGUUUGGACUCACUUGAUUUUGAAUCACUUGAGAUAUGCAAAUCAUACCACAUGGGCAAGAUGACUGAAAAGCCUCGUUUUCAGUACGAUGGAACAAGAUAGCAACCUGUUGGAAGUAACACAUUUUGAUGUGUGCAGUCCAAUGAGUGCUGAGGCAUGCAGUGAAUAUCGUUAUGUUCUCACUUCAUAGAUGAUUCGAGUAGAUGUUGAGUAUAUUUACUUGAUGAAACACAGGUCUGAAUUAUUGAAUGGUUCAAGUAAUUUCAGAGUGAAGUUGAAGAUCAUUGUGACAAGAGGAUAAAAUGUCUAUGAUAUGAUCAUAGAGAUGAGUAUCUGAGUUACGCUCUUUGGCACGCAAUUAAGACAUUGAGGAAAUUGUUUCACAAUUAAUACCGCCUGGAACACCAUAGUGUGAUGGUGUGUCCGAACAUCAUAGUUGCACCCUAUUGGAUAUGGUGCGUACCAUGAUGUCUCUUAUCGAAUUACCACUAUCGUUCAUGGGUUAGGCAUUAGAGACAACUGCACUCACUUUAAUAAGGCACCACGUAAUUCCGUUGAGACGACACCGUUUGAACUAUGGUUUGGAGAAACCUAAGUUGUCAUUUCUUAAAAGCUUGGGGCUGCGACGCUUAUGUGAAAAGGUUUCAGGUUGAUAAGCUCGAACCCAAAACGGAUAAAUACAUCUUCAUAGGAUACCCAAAAUGGUUGGGUAUACCUCCUAUCUCAGAUCCGGAAGCAAAAGUAAUCGUUUCUAGAAACGGGUCCUUUCUCGAGGAAAAGUUUCUCUCGAAAGAAUUGAGUGGGAGGAUGGUGGAGACUUGAUGAGGUUAUUGAACCGUCACUUCAACUAGUGUGUAGCAGGGCACAAGAAGUUGUUCCCGUGGCGCCUACACCAAUUGAAGUAGAAGCUUAUGAUAGUGAUCAUGAAGUUUCGGAUCAAGUCACUACCGUACCUCGUAGGGUGACAAGGAUGCGUACUACUUCAGAGUGGUACGCAAUCCUGUCUUAGAGGUCAUGUUGCUAGACAACAAUGAACCUACGAGCUAUGGAGAAGCGAUGGUGGGCCCAUAUUCCAACAAAUUGUUAGAAGCCAUGAAAUUCGAGAUAGGAUCCAUGUAUCAGAACAAAGCAUGGACUUUGGUGGACUUGCCGGAUGAUCGGCAAGCCGUUGAGAUAAAUGGAUCUUUAAGAAGAAGACGGACGUGGACGGUAAUGUCACCGUCUAUGAAGCUCGACUUGUGGCGAAGAGUUUUUCACAAGUUCAAGGAGUUGACUACGAUGAGAUUUUCUCAUCCGUAGCGAUGCUUAAGUCCAUCGGAAUCAUGUUAGCAUUAGCUGCAUUUAUGAAAUCUGGCAGAUGGAUGUCAAAACGAUUUUCCUUACCAGUUUUCAUAAGGAAAGAUUGUAUGUGAUACAAUCACAAAGGUUUUGUCGAUCCUAAGGAUGCUAAAAGGUAUGCUAGCUCCAGCGAUCCUUCUAAGGACUGGAGUAAGCAUCUCGGAGUCGGAAUAUGUACUUUGAUAAGAUGAUCAAAGAUUUUGGGUUUAUACAAAUUUAUGAGAAACUUGUAUUUCCAAAGAAGUGAGUGGGAGCACUAUAGAAUUUCUGAUGAGUAUAUGUUCUUGACAUAUUGUUGAUCAGAAAUGAUGUAGAAUUUCUGGAAAGCAUAUAGGGUUAUUUGAAAGGUUUUUUUCAAUAGAAAACCUGGAUCAAACUACUUGAACAUUGAGCAUCAAGAUCUAUGAGGAUAGAUCGAAAACGCUUAAUGGUACUUUCAAAUGAGCAUAUACCUUGACAUGAUCUUGAAGGUGUUCAAGAUGGAUCAGUCAAAGAAGGAGUUCUUGCUUGAGAUGUAAGGUAUGAAGUUAAGAGUUAAAGCUCGACCACGGUAGAAGAGAGAGAAAGGACGAAUGUCGUCCCCUAUGCUUCAGACGUAGGCUCUACAGUAUGCUAUGCUAAGUACCGCACCUGAUGUGUGCCUUGUCACAUGUCUGGCAAGAGGGUACAAAGGUGAUCAAGGAGUGGAUCACCAGAUAGCGGUCAAAAUUAUCCUUAGAGGAAUAAGGAUUUGUUUCUCGAUUAUGGAGGUGAUAAAGAAUUCGGCGUAAAGGGUUACGACGAUGCAAGCUUUAACACCUAUCCGAAUGACUUUGAGUAGCAAACCCGAUACGUAUAGUGGAGCAACCAUUUGGAAUAGCUUCAAGUGGAGCAUGGAAGCAGCAUUUACAAUAUGACAUAGAAAAUUGCAAAGUACAUACAGAUCUGAAUACUACAGACCCGUUGACUAAAACUUCUCUCACAAGGAAAACAUGAUCAAACCCCAGAACUCAUUGAGUCUUAAUCACAUGGUGAUGUGAACUAGUUCAGUGACACUAGUAAACUCUUUGGAUGUUGGUCACAUGGCGAUGUGACCUAUCAGUGUUAAUCACAUAGCGAUGUGAACUAGAUUAUUGACUCUAGUGCAAGUGGGAGGCUGUUGGAAAUAUGCCCUAGAGGCAAUGAUAAAUUAGUUAUUAUUAUAUUUCCUUGUUCAUGAUAAUCGUUUAUUAUCCAUGCUAUAAUUGUAUUGAUAGGAAACUAAGAUACAUGUGUGGAUACAUAGACAACACCAUGUCCCUAGUAAGCCUCUAGUUGACUAGCUCGUUGAUCAACAGAUGGUUACGGUUUCCUGACCAUGGACAUUGGAUGUCGUUGAUAACGGGAUCACAUCAUUAGGAGAAUGAUGUGAUGGACAAGACCCAAUCCUAAGCCUAGCACAAAGAUCGUAGUUUGUAUGCUAAAGCUUUUCUAAUGUCAAGUAUCAUUUCCUUAGACCAUGAGAUUGUGCAACUCCCGGAUACCGUAGGAAUGCUUUAGGUGUACCAAACGUCAUAACGUAACUGGGUGACUAUAAAGGUGCACUACAGGUAUCUCCGAAAGUGUCUGUUGGGUUGGCACGAAUCGAGACUGGGAUUUGUCACUCCGUGUGACGGAGAGGUAUCUCUGGGCCCACUCGAUAGGACAUCAUCAUAAUGUGCACAAUGUGACCAAGGGGUUGAUCACGGGAUGAUGUGUUACGAAAUGAGUAAAGAGACUUGCCGGUAACGAGAUUGAACAAGGUAUCGGCAUACCGACGAUCGAAUCUCGGGCAAGUACAAUACCGCUAGACAAAGGGAAUUGUAUACAGGAUCGAUUGAGUCCUUGACAUCGUGGUUCAUCCGAUGAGAUCAUCGUGGAACAUGUGGGAGCCAACAUGGGUAUCCAGAUCCCGCUGUUGGUUAUUGACCGGAGAACGUCUUGGUCAUGUCUGCAUGGUUCCCGAACCCGUAGGGUCUACACACUUAAGGUUCGAUGACGCUAGGGUUAUAAAGGAAGUUUGUAUGUGGUUACCGAAUGUUGUUCGGAGUCCCGGAUGAGAUCCCGCACGUCACGAGGAGUUCCGGAAUGGUCCGGAGGUAAAGAUUUAUAUAUGGGAAGUCCUGUAUUGGUCACCGGAAAAGUUUCGGGUUUUUCCGGUAACGUACCGGGACCACCGGGAGGGUCCCGGGGGUCCACCAAGUGGGGCCACCAACCACGGAGGCCUGCAUGGGCCAAGUGUGGGAGGGGACCAGCCCCAGGUGGGCUGGUGCGCCCCCCACAAGGGGCCCAAGGCGCAGGGAAGAGUGGGAGGGGCAAACCCUAGGGCAUAUGGGCCCUAAGGCCCACCCCAGGCGCGCCUCCCCUCUCUCCCCCUCUGGCCGCCACCCAGAUAGCAUCUGGGGGCUGCCGCCACCCUUGGGGAGGGAACCCUAGAGGGGCGCAGCCCCCUCCCCUCCCCUUAUAAAUACAUGAGGUCUGGGGGCUGCCCAACAUAUGAGUUUCUCCCUCUAUUGGCGCAGCCCUACCUCUCUUACUCCUCCUCUCCCGCGGUGCUUGGCGAAGCCCUGCAGGAUUGCCACGCUCCUCCACCACCACCACGCCGUUGUGCUGCUGCUGCAUGGAGUCUUCCUCAACCUCUCCCUCUCUCCUUGCUGGAUCAAGGCGUGGGAGACGUCACCGGGCUGUACGGGUGUUGAACGCGGAGGUGCCGUCCGUUCGGCAAUAGGAUCUCCGGUGAUUUGGAUCACGACGAGUACGACUCCUUCAACCCCGUUCUCUUGAACGCUUCCGCUUAGCGAUCUACAAGGGUAUGUAGAUGCACUCUCCUUCCCCUCAUUGCUGGUUUCUCCAUAGAUAGAUCUUGGUGACACGUAGGAAAAUUUUGAACUUCUGCUACGUUCCCCAACACAUACAAUGGCAUAAGCGUCAGCAAAGUUCAGAUGUCAAAUGAUGGUGUCACAUGUAUUUCUGAUACAAAUAGUGCAGUACCAACUUGGUUGUGACCCUGAAACUCUCUGUUACUUAGUGCCAGAAAUAAUGCGACAUUACAACAUGAGAAUACCACACUAAUCAAGAAACAGCCACAAAAAGCAACGACUCAACAUCAAUUAUAGAUAGCUGAUAUUGACAAAUUAAGCCACCCAGAAUUCAAAUCCACAAAUCAAUCAGCUUUGUCACAGCAUGGUUGCCUCAAAAAUGUCACCUGACUAAAUCCCCACUGAUAACCAUAGGUGCAUUAACAACAUCUAAACGAACAUCAUACCUUCAGCAACCGAGCACGUACGUGAGCUGCGAACUCCCUCCCGGAGCGACUGUGUGAG